CUGCUCGACAUCAACGUUUCUUCCUCUCGCUCUCUCUCCCUUCAUCUCUUACCCAUUUACCUCUCUCUAUCUACUUAUAUCUCCUUCUCUCACCAGCCAGUCGACCCGAUCGUGUUGCCCUCUUUCCUCUCCACCGGCUGUACCGACGUGGUACCGACGCUUCGACCAAUCCCCUUCCUUGUCGCCCCGCGGUCUUUCGUUGUCCGCCGUUCGCUUCUCUCUCUCUUUCACGAGUAGUCUGCCAGCCUGACGUUUCCCCCGCUUCGUACCUACCACUACCAACGCUGCCUUAUUCUACAUUCUACAUCGUUACCGCUACUCAUACAUACAUACAUACACACACACGCACGCUCGCGCGCGCGCCAUCAACGCUGGUACCCCGUGUUUCUAGCGAGGCGCAACGGUGGCGCCGCCAGACAGGGACGCCUCGAAACGUUUUCACCAUCCCGUCUCGCCCCGCUAGCGUCUGAUCCAAGCCCAUGUACCGACGACGACGCCUGAUGCUGCCAUGCUCUGCGGUAUGUACUAACUAUAACUAUAUAUACAUACCCACGCACCGUCCUUGUCGUUCUAUCGAUUCCCUCCCUUCCUCCUGCCGCUCUCGACGAACCUCUUCUCAUCCUACUCGUCAUAUAUCUCUCUCUCGCGCCUUUUCCUAUCUCCGUCCCAUUAUCCUUUCGUCUCUUUCUUUCCCUGCGUCUCGCUGCCAGCCAACUUGCCUGUCUGCUUGCCUGGCCUACCUGACUGCCUGCCUGCCUCGUCUCUACUUUGCUCGUUUACUUACUUGCUCGCAUGCUAGUCCGCCUGCUAGGUUGCUAGCCCGCUCGCUUCGGCCGGCUGUGUGCUUCGUUCAUCCUCUGCGUCGGUAACCUUGGCGAGGAAUAACCCGCCGUUCAAUUCAAGGAAUUAUGACGGCUUCUCCGUUUUCUCUUUUUCUAUUUGCGAACCCCUCUUUUUCGUUCUUUGUCACUAGUUUUCUUCUCCAUCUUCCUCGCUCCCGUAGAGCCGAACGGAGAGCGAAGCCAGUCCUUUUCCUUUGCUUGUUGGCACUCAUUCGUGCUGAUAUUUACGCGCCUAUGGGCCCCAUGCAGCGAGCGACGCCAUUACGUGAGCCUCGGCAAUGAUGUUCGAUGCAUGUGUAUAGUGUACGUAGCCUGCAUGUAUGCACGGAUGUGUAUAAAGCAAGUGUCUACGUCAGACACCGUGUCCUCGAGAUACGAUUAUGAUAGGAAGAUUUUAAAGCUUGCUACAAACGCGCACGUCUACAAUUUGUAAAGCAUGUAAUGAUUUCAUUUUACAGUAUGACGAUUUUAAGGUUCACUUCACUCUCGCCAAAAAUUACGGUAAGAACGAUUACCGAUAAAUAGAUAUAUCGCAUGGUCGAUUCGAUAUUUUCGAUUCGACGAUUCGAGAAGGACAUGUAGCCGCCAUUUUGUUAAUCGGCGUCUUUUAGUUUAUUACGUAACAAGAAUGUUUGUUAAUCUAUUUGAGUGUUGGAUAAAGAAGGUGGUGAAUAGAAAUCUAAGAAUAGCGUGGUAUAUAUUCCAGGUAACUGCAUCGGCGUGAAGCAAUGAUCGAUCGGCUGGAAAUAUCCUCAACGAUAUCGGACAGAAUGAACCCUUGAGUUUCCUCAUGUGUCUCGCGGGCCCUUCAGUUACUUGAAAUCAUCGGCGAGCACAAUUCCACGGAAAUCGUUUGGGUGGAAGAUUGAUCGAGUGCAACACGACGUGUCUAAAUGAACGGGGCGGAGUUUUUGCGAAAGACCGCAUUCCUGCGACGGUCCGUAAUGCGGCGGAAGCACGUGCCACCGCGUGUCUUGAUGCUCGAUUUGGCCCCGAGAUCCCGAGGACGGAGCGCUUCU